UCUCCCUCUCUCUCUGGUCUUCUCCAUGCCCUAGAACCAAGAAACCUAGGGUUUCUUGGCUGCCAACCUAAAAAGGAAAGAAAGGAACCAGCGCUGCCUCUUUUACACGCCCCUGUUUUGAGCACCCCCUCUUGGCUGCCCAAGAGGAGUUUCAGGUCCUAUAUUUUUUUGGUUUUGGAAAAUUCAUCAAGUAUUCUUCCAGGUCUCAAAAGGUAGAUUUCAGAUCUGAUGGAGAAGGGGUUCAAAUCGAAGAAAGAAAUCCUAUCGACAGGAUUUACAAGGCUGCUGCAACCAUGAAGGCUGUUCUUCUUCAAUGUGUUUCAUCCUCUUCC
rnacentral:lncRNA from 1 species